rnacentral:snRNA from 1 species
GUAGUGAAGGUGAUCUGGUUCUGACAUUUUUCACAGGAUUGUUAUGGCUGAUCUGGCCGGCCAGGUGGGUGUCCCCUUUUUCCCUCACCAUUCCACGUGCAUCCCUCCUUGCGUCCCUCCUGAAGCUGCACACUCGGCCAUCAAGGUAGGGGUCCAUCAUUCUCCGGUCAAGGGAAUAAGAUAGCUGUGCUCCCGUGCUAGAAUCUCCACCCAGAUGUGUUUGCAACAUACUAGCCCAGGUAGAAUGGUUAUCACCAUCAGAUGCUUAUGAGUUCUGACACAGUGCAAGUAAUUUCAUCU